UGGUGUCCCAGCAGGGAAAGGGCCAAAUGCCCACUCUCAUGAGUCACGGGAUACCGAGUGCGAGGAGAGAAGUGGCAGAGCGCAGGUGGAAGCAUGGAGGUGGUGGAGGGAAGGCACAGCUUCAGCAUCAGAAAAAAACUGGAAAGUCACUGUGAUUUUGGAAAGGAUAAGAUUGUAAUAAGGGCCUCUCUCCACUGCCCCAGGCCCCUGGACCAGAGGGCACCCCGUGGCCAAGACAUCUCCUGGGAGCCACUGUCCAAAGAGAUGCUGCCUCCACUUCUAUCACUCCAGACCCCAGGGGCCCCUGAGAGAUGCCUUUGGAAACAGAGCUUUUUAACACGCAAAGAACACAUCACUGUCCUACUCAACAGCCCUCAAUGACUGCCAUCCACUUGGGAAAAAUCUGAACUUCUUGGUCUCCAAGACUUCAGCUGGCCUUACCCAGACUCUGUUUGCCCCAGGUCAAAACAAAGGUCUUGCCACAGGGCCUUUGCACAAACCAUUCCUUCUCUGCUAAAUGUUCUCACCCCAACUGUCCCCUGGAUAUGAGUCACAAGUCGGGGAUGCUUUCUCUGCUGUCCUAAUCCAAAAGGAGUCUCCCCCAUCAUUCUCCCUUGGAGCCUGUUUCUUCCUUUGCACUCACAGUUACAAUUACACCUUCAUUUCAUCAUUUAUUUGCCAAAUGUCUCCCCGUGAGGGUAGAGGCCAAACCUGUUUCAUUCACUGCUGCAGCCUCUGUUCCUAGUUUAGUGCCAGACACUCAGGAGGAUGUGUGCACACAGAAAAUAUAUGAUGUUAUUUUGCCACUGUUUAGACAGAGGGGACAACUUCAGAAUCAGGGGGGCCCUCUGAUUCUCCUGCAGAUGCAGUGGGAGCAGCUGGGAGCCACCCAGACUGUAAGCUCAUCUUC
rnacentral:lncRNA from 1 species